CAGCUAGUUGGUGAGGUAACGGCCCACCAAGGCUUUGACGGGUAGCUGGUCUGAGAGGACGACCAGCCACACUGGGACUGAGACACGGCCCAGACACCUACGGGUGGCAGCAGUCGAGAAUUUUUCUCAAUGGGGGAAACCCUGAAGGAGCGACGCCGCGUGGAGGAUGAAGGUCUUCGGGUUGUAAACUCCUGUCAUUUGGGAACAAUGCGCAAAUAUUAACUGUAUUUGCGUUGAUAGUACCAGAAGAGGAAGAGACGGCUAACUCUGUGCCAGCAGCCGCGGUAAUACAGAGGUCUCAAGCGUUGUUCGGAUUCAUUGGGCGUAAAGGGUGCGUAGGCGGCGCGGUAAGUCGGGUGUGAAAUCUCGGGGCUUAACUCCGAAACUGCAUUCGAUACUGCCGUGCUUGAGGACUGGAGAGGAGACUGGAAUUUACGGUGUAGCGGUGAAAUGCGUAGAUAUCGUAAGGAAGACCAGUGGCGAAGGCGGGUCUCUGGACAGUUCCUGACGCUGAGGCACGAAGGCCAGGGGAGCAAACGGGAUUAGAUACCCCGGUAGUCCUGGCAGUAAACGGUGCACGUUU
rnacentral:rRNA from 1 species